UGUUGUUCGAUAUAUUUGUAUUUUCACAUGUAUGUACUCUGCCAUUUAGGCUACGAAGCUACAGCUAUCUAACAUUAGCUAGCUAACAUUUAACUAGAUAGCUAUAACUUCGUAACGUCUUUUAACGCUAUGUUUAAAGUCUAGCUAUAGUUUGUCACGUUUAGUGAAGCUGUUUAAACACAUAUAUAUAAAUAUAUCCCACUGUCACGAACUUGUUAACCGUAUGUGUGCGUGUGUGGUUAUGGUUGCGGUAAACAGAUGUUUAAAGUGAAUGCUAAUUGUGUUCCCUUUAAUAUGCUGCCUAUUACAGUAUUAGGGGCGUAAUGUGUCAUACAUACACGGUUGGUGUGAAUGAAAUAAAGCCAGAAUUUUAACCAUGACCUUGCUUCGUGUUUACUACUGGAGGGAGAUAAUGAAUCACUAACUAUAUGAGUCCGUGUAUGCACCAGUACAAAUGUAUUAAGGGAUCAACUUUGUGUAGAAGAGUAUUUACAUUACCAUCCCACAAGUUUGAGAACAUGUGCCUUGGUUGUAGUCUAAAACUUUGCUUUCCUUGGUCUUUUAACAGGUUAUGUUUUGUCCAUUUUGUGGAGUGAACCUUCAACAUGUUCUGUCAUAUUGUGGGAAAUGUGGCAGAAACGUUCAGUUUUUACGGAGUCUUCAAGAUGAAGGUCCUGAAGCUACAAUGGCAGAUGAACUUAUUCAGAAGGAUUUCACAGAAGGCCAUAGUUAUGAAGUAAUAAUGGACUUACUGGCAACCAAGCACAACAUUUCAUUGAGUCUUAGCACUUUAAAAAGAAGACUACAGGAUGCAGGCCUGACCCGGAGGACUAACUACACUCCGGUUGCAACUGUGCAGGCAGCUAUAUCUGAGGAACUUAAGGGAUCAGGCCAGCUCUUAGGAUACCGAGCAAUGUGUCAGACUCUGAGACAGAAGUACUCUCUUAUAGUCAGAAGAGAUGAUGUGAUGCGCCUAAUGGGAGAACUGGAUCCGUCCGGAAAAGAAAAUCGCUCUAGACGCAGAUUCGUCCGGAGAGCAUACCACUCAAUGGGACCCAAUGACGUCUGGCAUGUUGAUGGCUAUGAUAAAUUGAAACCUUUUGGGAUUGCAAUUAGUGGCUGUAUCGAUGGAUUUUCUAGAAAAAUCAUGUGGCUGAAAUGUGGAAAGUCUAACAAUGACCCUGGCAUAAUUGCUCAAAAUUACAUGCAGUGUGUAGCUGAGUUUGGAAUUAUUCCAAUGCGUCUCCGCACAGACUGCGGCACAGAAAAUGGACUGAUGGCAUCACUUCACUGUUCCCUGAGAUCAGAGCAUGCAGACGAGUUUGCAGGAGCCAAAAGCCACAUGUACGGCACUUCAACAUCCAACCAGCGCAUUGAAAGCUGGUGAUCCUACUUUCGGAAACAAAGGAGUCAAUUUUGGAUGGAUCUGUUCAGUGACUUGAGGGAGAGGCAUCUCUUCAAUGGCAGCUAUCAACACAUAAGUUUGGUGCGAUACUGCUUCUUGGGUGUCCUGCAGAACGAACUGGAUGAAUACAAGCAAUUGUGGAACACUCACACUAUUCGUCCAGUUCGCCAAUCCCAAUGCCCAUCUGGUAAACCAGAGGCUAUGUACAAUGUGCCUCACAGAUUUAAUGGAAGGAAUUGUGGAUUCCCAGCAUCUACACAAACCCUGAGCCAGUUUGACAGCCUCAUGCCAGCGCCAGCAACUCCUGGUGGAGAGGAUGAACAGCAAACUCGCUUUGAAGAACUGCAGAGACAAAGUGGUUUGACAUCUCCUCUACAAUGGGAAUCUGCUGUAGAGAACUACAUCACCCUGAAGAACAUGGCUGAUCUUUAAUGUACAGUUGCGCUAAAAGUUUAUGAACCCAUGCUAAA